AUAUAAAAAACUAAUUAGGGGGAAUUCCCUUUACCAACUGAAGUUGUUUGGCAGAAAGAAUAAUAUAACACUCCAGACUGGGCUACCUCACCUACUGUGGUUUAUUACUAUCUUGUGGCCUACAUU